rnacentral:lncRNA from 1 species
AAAGCAACAGAGCAUCAUUAUCUGUCCUUGGGGUGGGGUACAUGACAGUCCCUGUUAUGGCUUUAAGAAAUGAAUCUCAGCGCUCAUUCCCUAAUAUCAUUAGCUGUUYGGCUUCAGACUUUUCUUCCUUUUGCUUUCUGAAACAGCAGCUGCUCAGAUGACAAGGUCAUCCCACAACAGGCCUCUCCACCUAACUGAAGCUUAGGAUAAAUAGUGUUUUUUAAAGUUAGGACUACAGAGAUGAUGGUUCAGUUUCUAGAUUUCUCACUUACUGCAGGUCAGACUAUGAACUGUGCCUGAGCAGGGAGUGUAAGGGCAUGAGCCCAUAUAUGCUACAGCUCUUGCACACAUGGACAAGGAGGGGGUAGAUGGGUCAGCAUGUCCCUUAUCUAUUCUUGGAGCAGUGUAAUUAUAUCCCACCCCUCAUUUGAGUCUAAUUAAGGUAUUUCUGAGGAGAUGACAGCCUUUCUAACCCACCUCUGAGUGUUGUGAGAGUAUGCGCACCACUGACUCACUCAGCCAGGACCAGUUGUGCAGACUGUACUUUAAGGUACUGAAAGUAGAGGAGCUAAACAUGUUCAUUAUUUGUUCUGGUCCUGAAGGACAGGAAGAUUGCUGAACUUGAGGGGAAGAUGAAGACCCUUCAGAAAGGAGAAGAUGCUCCUGACUCAUCCAGAGCAGAGGAACUGGAACUGAGGUGCCUUCAGCUGCAGACCCAGGUCUGGGAGAUGGAGCGGUUUCUAAAUGACUACGGUCUGAUUUGGGUUGGAGAGAGUCGUGAACAGCUGGAAGAUUUAGAAUCAUUCAAGGAGGAAGAAAAGCUGCCAGCAAGGAGUCUCUGGAAGCCAGGUAAAGUACCAGUACUCC